AGUGGCUCAGGUGGUAGAGUGCUUGCCUUGCAUGCACAAGGACCUGGGUUCAAUCCCCAGCACUA
rnacentral:tRNA from 1 species